rnacentral:tRNA from 1 species
CUUGAUAGGGUAAAUCAUGUAAUAAUAUUACAUUCAU